GACGAACGCUGGCGGCGUGCUUAACACAUGCAAGUCGAACGGAAAGGCCCUGCUUUUGUGGGGUGCUCGAGUGGCGAACGGGUGAGUAACACGUGAGUAACCUGCCCUUGACUUUGGGAUAACUUCAGGAAACUGGGGCUAAUACCGGAUAGGAGCUCCUGCGGCAUGGUGGGGGUUGGAAAGUUUCGGCGGUUGGGGAUGGACUCGCGGCUUAUCAGCUUGUUGGUGGGGUAGUGGCUUACCAAGGCUUUGACGGGUAGCCGGCCUGAGAGGGUGACCGGCCACAUUGGGACUGAGAUACGGCCCAGACUCCUACGGGAGGCAGCAGUGGGGAAUAUUGCACAAUGGGCGGAAGCCUGGUGCAGCAACGCCGCGUGCGGGAUGACGGCCUUCGGGAUGUAGACCGCUUUCGCCUGUGACGAAGCGUGAGUGACGGUAAUGGGUAAAGAAGCACCGGCUAACUACGUG
rnacentral:rRNA from 1 species